UACGAAGGGGGCUAGCGUUGCUCGGAAUGACUGGGCGUAAAGGGCGCGUAGGCGGACUGCUUUGUCGGGCGUGAAAUUCCAGGGCUUAACCUUGGGGCUGCGUUCGAGACGGGUAUGUCUAGAGUUUGGAAGAGGGUCGUGGAAUUCCCAGUGUAGAGGUGAAAUUCGUAGAUAUUGGGAAGAACACCGGUGGCGAAGGCGGCGACCUGGUCCUUGACUGACGCUGAGGCGCGAAAGCGUGGGGAGCAAACAGG
rnacentral:rRNA from 1 species